rnacentral:rRNA from 1 species
UUCGGGUUGUAAAGUACUUUCAGUCGUGAGGAAGGCGGCGUCGUUAAUAGCGGCGUUGUUUGACGUUAGCGACAGAAGAAAGCACCGGCUAACUCCGUGCCAGCAGCCGCGGUAAUACGGAGGGUGCGAGCGUUAAUCGGAAUUACUGGGCGUAAAGCGCAUGCAGGUGGUUUGUUAAGUCAGAUGUGAAAGACCCGGGGCGUCAACCUCGGAAUUGCAUUUGAAACUGGCAGACUAGAGUACUGUAGAGGGGGGUAGGAAUUUCAGGUGUAGCGGUGAAAUGCGUAGAGAUCUGAAGGAAUACCGGUGGCGAAGGCGGCCCCCUCGGACAGAUACUGACACUCAGAUGCGAAAGCGUGGGGAGCAAACAGGAUUAGAUACCCUGGUAG